AAGGGAAGUAAAUCUGCAGCUUGGAGAAUAACCACAAGAGCUGAAGCAGAGCCAAGAGGUAAAACAAUUAUGUGAAGCAAGAGCAGAUGGAGAACAGGAGGAGAACUCUUCAUAUUAUGGUGUGAACAUGGCUCCCUGGCAUGAAAGCCUUUAGGUCUCAGCUUUCCUCCCCUUGCUCGCAGGAGUGACAAAUGAGAGUAAGUGAAAGGUUGGUUUGGCCUCUGCAGGGAGAGGAUGGAAAACUAGAGGAGAAGCUACAAGGGCCACCCAGAACUUGAACAUUUGGAGAGGCAGACACCGGGCGUGAGAAGCCAUUUCUCAGAAUGUUGCAUAGAGCCCAGAAGAAAAGGAUGUGAGUGGAUCCGACAUUAAACGGAACAUUCCUCAAAGUGUGUGCUACAAACAAUACUCAUAGACUGAGAAGUACUGCAGGAAAGAAAUCCAACUGAUGACAUUUAAUGGCAAGGAGCCUCACAAGAGACUGCACUGAGUGUUUGCCAAAACUCCCCUCCCACAAAGACUGUGCAGAGAUCUUCAAAUACUUCUUUCUAUUCCUCCAGCUCACCAAACCUCUAUGUAACCAAUUAUUUAAAUAAGUUGAUCCAUUCCAUUCGGAGUCAAAUCCUCAAAGAUCGUUUUAGGAGGUACUGACUUUCACUUUGAAGUUACAGCUACUGUCAUUUAUUCUCAAA